rnacentral:rRNA from 1 species
AGUGAACGCUGGCGGUAGGCCUAACACAUGCAAGUCGAACGGCAGCACAGUAAGAGCUUGCUCUUACGGGUGGCGAGUGGCGGACGGGUGAGGAAUACAUCGGAAUCUACUUUUUCGUGGGGGAUAACGUAGGGAAACUUACGCUAAUACCGCAUAUGACCUACGGGUGAAAGCAGGGGAUCUUCGGACCUUGCGCGAUUGAAUGAGCCGAUGUCGGAUUAGCUAGUUGGCGGGGUAACGGCCCACCAAGGCGACGAUACGUAGCGGGUCUGAGAGGAUGAUCCGCCACACUGGAACUGAGACACGGUCCAGACUCCUACGGGAGGCAGCAGGGGGGAAUACUUGGCAAUGGGCGGAAGCCUGACGCAGCCACGCCGCGUGGGUGAAGAAGGGCUUCGGGUUUUAAAACCCUUUUGUUGGGAAAGAAAAGCAGCAGGUUAAUACCCCGCUGUUCUGACGGUACCCAAAGAAUAAGCACCGGCUAACUUCGUG